GCCCUCGUGGCCUAAUGGAUAAGGCAUCGGUCUCCUAAACCGGAAUUGCGGGUUCAAAUCCCGCCGGGGGUA
rnacentral:tRNA from 1 species